rnacentral:lncRNA from 1 species
AUGGAUCGAGUGGUAAAGUACUGUGGGUAAUUACAAUAGAUUGGAGUAAGGAUUGGAUCCGACACUGAAGGACUUCAAGAAGUGGCUUAUUUUCAAAUUAGGAAAUACUGUUUUUAUUUAAAAAGCUACCUUUGUAAAACAUGGAAUUUAUUCCAUCUUUUUAAAUAAAAUCCGGUGUUUCUAAACUCUGAUAUUUUUCCUAACUCACGGUCCUGAUGAAAUUUCCGCUGCAAUGUUUUUAAAAUAAUCACCGGUACCACUGGACUGCUCACGGCACCGAUUCCGGCUAGAUGGGGUCGGGGGUCUUGACAAAUGCCGUCUCGGGGAGGGUAUUACUAAUGUUAAAAUGGGUUAUUAUACUAACACGUGCACAUUUGUGUAAAUUAUAGAUAAUUCUCAGGAAAUCCUUACAGAAAACCUAAGACAGCAAUGUGAGUAAUCUCCUUCUUGUAAACAAUUUUUACAAAACCUUAACCAUUUUACAAUGCAAUUUAGCAGUGAUUGAGUCUUUGUAAUUCUACGAUUACUGCCGGUAUGUUGGGGUUUUGUAUACAAAAUGUAAGACACGUUACCAUUGGACGAAGAGUUAGCCAAUGUGUAAUAUGACCCACCAGUCAGGAUUGACAGUACUAAAUGAGUAAUUGGGUAGAUGUAAACAUUGUAAUCGCUCUCAAUACUAUUUAAAUUAAUAAAACUUUUCUUGAUUAAACUGGGAUUCACUCACCAGUAUUUCCCACUGACAAAAUGUUUUUAAACGCGUUUCAGGUAACACAAUGUAAAAGCCAAUUAGAAGCCAUCUGGACAGCACUGAAGGCAUGGAAAAGUGGCUAUAAAAGUUACCUAAAUAAAAGAAGGCGUUUAUUUCAAUAAAAUGAGAUUUAUCCCUAUAAAUCAGUUUGUAAUGAAAACUUGGGUUUUAUCCCAAUAUGUUUAUUUAUAUAAAAUAUGGUGUUUUACU